AGCAUAUUUACUGAAAUCAAAAGCUAUUUCAAUCAAACUUAUAACAACAUUUUAACUUUAUAAACAUUUUAACAUAGGACCCCUUAUUUGAUAGCAGCUUCACAAGUCUUGCAUUCAUUGAACGUGUGAGUUUUUGGACAGUUUCUGCUUGAAUUUGUUUGCAAGAUGCCAGAAUAGCCUCCUAGAGCUGCUGCUUGGAUGUAAACUGCCUUCCACCCUCAGAGAUCUUUUGCUUGAGGAUGCUCUAUAGCAGGGCUUCCCAAACUUUUAUGGGCCGAAACCCACUUUUCAAAAUAGUAAUUUUUCGAGACCCACUUGCUUUUAAUGCAUAUUUUAAAAAGUGAACACUUUCAUGGCAAUCAGCUUUAGAGGCAUACAAUUGGCACACCAUAGCAAUCCGCUUUAGAUGCACACACUUGGCACACCAUGACAAUUACUUUUAGAGGCAUGAAACUGGCACACCAUGGCAAACCACUUUAGAGGCAUACAAUUGGCACACUAUAGCAAUCCGCUUUAGAUGCAUACAAUUGGCACACCGUGACAAUCAGUUUUCGAGGCAUAAAAUUGGCACAUCAUGGAAAUCCGCUUUAGAUGCAUACAAUUGGCACUCCAUGGCAAUCAGCUUUAGAGGUAUACAAUUGACACACCAUGGCAAUCAGCUUUACAGGCAUACAAUUGGCACACCAUGGCAAUCAGCUUUAUAGGCAUACAAUUGGCACACCAUGGCAAUCAGCUUUACAGGCAUACAACUGGCACACCAUGGCAAUCAGCUUUACAGGAAUACUAUUGGAACAUUAUGGCUGCUUUAGAUGCAUAAAAUUGGCACACUAUAGCAAUCCGCUUUAGAUGCAUACAAUUGGCAUACCAUGGCAAUCAGCUUUAGAUGCAUAAAAUUGGUACAUCGUGGCAAUCAGUUUUAGAUGUAUAAACUUGGCACAUCAUGGCAACUUUAGGUGCAUACAAUUGGCACACCAUGGCAACCAGCUUUAAAGGCAUAAAUUCAGAACAUCAUGGCAAUCAGUUUUAGAUGCAUAAAAUUGGAACAUCAUAGCAGCUUUAAAUACAUAAACUUGGCACACCAUGGCAAUAAGCUUUAGAUGCAUAAACUUGGCAUAUCAUGGCAAUCAGCUUCAGAGGCAUAAAAUUGGCACACCAUGGCAAUCAGUCAGAUGCAUAAAAUUGGCACACCAUGGCAAUCAGUUUUAGAUGCAUAAAAUCGGCAUAACAUGGCAGUUUUAGAGGCAUAAUUCUGGGAUAUCAUGGUAGUUUUAGAGGCAGAAACUUUGCACAUCAUGGCAAUCAGUUUUAGAGACAUACAACUGCUUACCCACAGACUCCGAAUCAGAAGUGCUGUGUCCUGCUCUUUCAUCCAGGCACCUCACAUUGAUUAUUCCAGUGGUGGAACUAAUGUAGAGUUAGCCCUGGUGCAAGAAUGUUUUCUGGGCCCCCCUGUAGUGCAAGUGUGGCCAAAAGGUAGAUCUCCAUCUGUCGGAGAACUUCAACAAUGUAAUACCAGAUGGGGAUCUACCAUUUUCUUAUCAUUGCAGGGUAUAUUUUUGAGGAGUGUUUGAGCGUUUGAAUGUAAGCAUGUUUUUAUAUUAAGUAUAUGUGUGCAUGUAUGGGUGUAUAUGUACUGUUGCCAUUAGAAUGUAGUGGUGUACUUGUUUGUAAUGUUUGCGUCAAUGCAUGGGUGAAGGGGUUACAUGGGGGAGGGCAGGGAGUGAAAGGGUUACAUGGGGGGGGGUGAAGGAAGUCCGGGGGCUGUGUCCUACCUUUCAUAAAUUCAAUGGUGGUCCAGUGGGGUAACUCUCCGGUCUGCAGCUCUGCCGGGUGCAGAGCUGCAGACCGUGUAAUAAAA